GAGGCGGGACGAUCUGCCGCUAUUGCCAGCAAUAGAGGAAAGUCCGGACAGGUAAGGGCACCCCGCUGUGGAAAGCACAGAAGGGAGUAAUCUUUUGAAAGCUGUAACAGAAAACAACCGCCGGGACAAAACUCCGGAGACUUAUGUCAACGGAAUUCCGGCAAGGGUGAAAAUGUGGGGUAAGAGCCCACAAUCUGUAUCGGUGACGAUGCAGAGGUACGGCACCGGGGCCUGCAAAACCAAAUAUACCGGCAGAUGAGGGCUGCCCGUCCGAUGCCGGGGGGUAGGUUGCGUAGAUAAAUGGCAGAUUUAAAAACAGAAACCGGCUUACGGUCCCGCCUUCAGA
rnacentral:RNase_P_RNA from 1 species